rnacentral:rRNA from 1 species
GUUAGGAAUAUUGGACAAUGGGCGAAAGCCUGAUCCAGCCAUGCCGCGUGAACGAUGAAGGCCUUCGGGUUGUAAAGUUCUUUAGCCGAUGAUUAUAAUGACUGUAGUCGGAAAAUAAGCCCCGGCCAACUUCGUGCCAGCAGCCGCGGUAAUACGAAGGGGGCGAGCGUUAUUCGGAAUCACUGGGCGUAAAGCGUGCGUAGGCGGUUUUGUAAGUUAGGAGUGAAAGCCCAGGGCUCAACCUUGGAAUUGCUCUUAAAACUGCAAGGCUGGAAUCUCGGGGAGGAUAGCGGAAUUUCCAGUGUAGCAGUGAAAUGCGUAGAUAUUGGAAGGAACACCAGUGGCGUAAGCGGCUAUCUGGACGAGUAUUGACGCUGAGGCACGAAAGCGUGGGGAUCAAACAGGAUUAGAAACCCGAGUAGUCC